GGUUAAGCGACUAAGCGUACACGGUGGAUGCCCCCGGCAGUCAGAGGCGAUGAAGGACGUGCUAAUCUGCGAAAAGCGUCGGUAAGGUGAUAUGAACCGUUAUAACCGGCGAUGUCCGAAUGGGGAAACCCAGUGCAAUUCGUUGCACUAUCGUUAACUGAAUACAUAGGUUAACGAGGCGAACCGGGGAACUGAAACAUCUAAGUACCCCGAGGAAAAGAAAUCAACCGAGAUUCCCCAGUAGCGGCGAGCGAACGGGGAGCAGCCCAGAGUCUGAAUCAGCUUGUGUGUUAGUGGAACGGUCUGGAAAGUCCGACGGUACAGGGUGAUAGUCCCGUACACCAAAAUGCACAGGCUGUGAACUCGAAGAGUAGGGCGGGACACGUGGUAUCCUGUCUGAAUAUGGGGGACCAUCCUCCAAGGCUAAAUACUCCUGACUGACCGAUAGUGAACCAGUACCGUGAGGGAAAGGCGAAAAGAACCCCGGCGAGGGAGUGAAAAAGAACCUGAAACCGUGUACGUACAAGCAGUGGGAGCACCUUCGGGUGUGACUGCGUACCUUUGUAUAAUGGGUCAGCGACUUAUAUUCUGUAGCAAGGUUAACCGUAUAGGGGAGCCGUAGGGAAACCGAGUCUUAACUGGGCGUUAAGUUGCAGGGUAUAGACCCGAAACCCGGUGAUCUAGCCAUGGGCAGGUUGAAGGUUGGGUAACACUAACUGGAGGACCGAACCGACUAAUGUUGAAAAAUUAGCGGAUGACUUGUGGCUGGGGUGAAAGGCCAAUCAAACCGGGAGAUAGCUGGUUCUCCCCGAAAGCUAUUUAGGUAGCGCCUCGUGAACUCAUCUUCGGGGUAGAGCACUGUUUCGGCUAGGGGUCAUCCCGACUUCACCAACCCGAUGCAAACUACGAAUACCGAAGAAUGUUAUCACGGGAGACACACGGCGGGUGCUAACGUCCGUCGUGAAGAGGGAAACAACCCAGACCGCCAGCUAAGGUCCCAAAGUCAUGGUUAAGUGGGAAACGAUGUGGGAAGGCACAGACAGCCAGGAUGUUGGCUUAGAAGCAGCCAUCAUUUAAAGAAAGCGUAAUAGCUCACUGGUCGAGUCGGCCUGCGCGGAAGAUGUAACGGGGCUAAACCAUGCACCGAAGCUGCGGCAGCGACACUAUGUGUUGUUGGGUAGGGGAGCGUUCUGUAAGCCUGCGAAGGUGUGCUGUGAGGCAUGCUGGAGGUAUCAGAAGUGCGAAUGCUGACAUAAGUAACGAUAAAGCGGGUGAAAAGCCCGCUCGCCGGAAGACCAAGGGUUCCUGUCCAACGUUAAUCGGGGCAGGGUGAGUCGACCCUAAGGCGAGGCCGAAAGGCGUAGUCGAUGGGAAACAGGUUAAUAUUCCUGUACUUGGUGUUACUGCGAAGGGGGACGGAGAAGGCUAUGUUAGCCGGGCGACGGUUGUCCCGGUUUAAGCAUGUAGGCUGAUUGUCCAGGCAAAUCCGGAUAAUCAAGGCUGAGGUGUGAUGACGAGGCACUACGGUGCUGAAGUAACAAAUGCCCUGCUUCCAGGAAAAGCCUCUAAGCAUCAGGUAACAUCAAAUCGUACCCCAAACCGACACAGGUGGUCAGGUAGAGAAUACCAAGGCGCUUGAGAGAACUCGGGUGAAGGAACUAGGCAAAAUGGUGCCGUAACUUCGGGAGAAGGCACGCUGGUGUGUAGGUGAAGUCCCUGCGGAUGGAGCUGAGACCAGUCGAAGAUACCAGCUGGCUGCAACUGUUUAUUAAAAACACAGCACUGUGCAAACACGAAAGUGGACGUAUACGGUGUGACGCCUGCCCGGUGCCGGAAGGUUAAUUGAUGGGGUUAUCCGUAAGGAGAAGCUCUUGAUCGAAGCCCCGGUAAACGGCGGCCGUAACUAUAACGGUCCUAAGGUAGCGAAAUUCCUUGUCGGGUAAGUUCCGACCUGCACGAAUGGCGUAAUGAUGGCCGGGCUGUCUCCACCCGAGACUCAGUGAAAUUGAACUCGCUGUGAAGAUGCAGUGUACCCGCGGCAAGACGGAAAGACCCCGUGAACCUUUACUAUAGCUUGACACUGAACAUUGAGCCUUGAUGUGUAGGAUAGGUGGGAGGCUUUGAAGCGUGGACGCCAGUCUGCGUGGAGCCAACCUUGAAAUACCACCCUUUAAUGUUUGAUGUUCUAACGUUGGCCCCUGACCGGGGUUGCGGACAGUGUCUGGUGGGUAGUUUGACUGGGGCGGUCUCCUCCCAAAGCGUAACGGAGGAGCACGAAGGUUAGCUAAUCCUGGUCGGACAUCAGGAGGUUAGUGCAAUGGCAUAAGCUAGCUUGACUGCGAGCGUGACGGCGCGAGCAGGUGCGAAAGCAGGUCAUAGUGAUCCGGUGGUUCUGAAUGGAAGGGCCAUCGCUCAACGGAUAAAAGGUACUCCGGGGAUAACAGGCUGAUACCGCCCAAGAGUUCAUAUCGACGGCGGUGUUUGGCACCUCGAUGUCGGCUCAUCACAUCCUGGGGCUGAAGUAGGUCCCAAGGGUAUGGCUGUUCGCCAUUUAAAGUGGUACGCGAGCUGGGUUUAGAACGUCGUGAGACAGUUCGGUCCCUAUCUGCCGUGGGCGCUGGAGAAUUGAGGGGGCUGCUCCUAGUACGAGAGGACCGGAGUGGACGCAUCACUGGUGUUCGGGUUGUCAUGCCAAUGGCACUGCCCGGUAGCUAAAUGCGGAAGAGAUAAGUGCUGAAAGCAUCUAAGCACGAAACUUGCCCCGAGAUGAGUUCUCCCUGAGACUUUAAGUCUCCUGAAGGAACGUUAAAGACGAUGACGUUGAUAGGCCGGGUGUGUAAGCGCAGCGAUGCGUUGAGCUAACCGGUACUAAUGAACCGUGAGGCUUAACCUU
rnacentral:rRNA from 1 species